CUCAAACGACACUCAUAACUCUCUCUCCCAAAUAGCCUUCCUCGUUACCGGAGAUUACGAGGAGAAGACAAACCACCAUCGGCGGCAACGGCGGCGUUAAAACUGGAAAAUCUGUUAAUACUCAUCUUGCUAAUCCGCUAGGGUUUCUCAAAAUGGUGAGAGAUAAGUUGAAAACUAAUCGAAAAGCCAUCUUGUCCAACUUAUUAAUUUUCUCUUCCUUAAAGUUGUCGCACGAUUUUCGCCUUUGAAGCAGAAUAGUAGCAGCUUUCGCGGUCUUCUUGUCAAGGCAGAAUAUCCCCUAGGGAUCAAUGCAAUAUCUGAGCUUGUAAAAAUCAGAUCUUUUUAAUAUUUGUCAGCGACAAGCAGGAGGCUGUUGCUGCUACCACUGCUAUCCAAGAGGAGAUAUUUUCCGAGAUGAGAAUUGAUCCAAGAUUUGGUCUUGCUUGCUUGGGAAAAAUAAACAUGACUUAUGAGGUUGCUUUAUGGCAUCAUUUUCGUAUAAGGAAAUUUAUUGCGUGAAUUCUUUCUUUGUCCUUCCUGGUUUUCCUAAAAUACUUAGUAUCAUGGAUUUGUCAUAAUUUCUACCCACCAUAGGCUUUAUUUUGCAGCUGAUAAUCACCAAGGAUGUGUAUGCAGCUUAAAUUGAAAUACUAUAAUGUGCUAAGUUGUGUAGAAGUUCUAAAUUCAUUUCUUAGGAAGCAGUCUAUAUUCUUUUCUUGAGGUAUGUUCUGUAUAUAGCUUUUCUAGAUUACCAUAUUAUUUGCAUUCUUUUAUCUUGUCGAGCUUAAAUUGUUCUCAAUUUGAAGUGUUAUCUAAUUUGCAAUUUUAUUAAUAUCUGUCAUGUUAUCGUCUGAAAGACGUCUAUUUAUUUACUUUUAUUUCUCUCUUCUUGGCUCUCAUGUGUAUCUAAUUUUGAAUUCAGACAAUGAGUAUAUAUGUCUCAUUGUUAUAGUGUACGUGAGGGAGAUGCCAUCAACUCCCCUGGAUGGAUUCUUUCUCUUAUUGUUUUAGCUCAGAUGUUCUCCUCUCACUAAUGCUGCCAAGUUUUGUUACAGCAUGUACUGAAACAUGGGAAGCCAAAGGAGCAUUCGUCUAUAAUUAGUAAGCUGAUGGGACAGAUAGUUCAGAUGAGCCAGCAAAUAUUUGCCUCCAAUGAUGUGCAGAAGUGAUCAAGCUUCGGAACUCCCAAAGAACGUCAGACCUUGGUAGACGAGAUGCUUGGCACAACUGAUGAAAAUGAACCUCUUCAGGUGGAGCAACUAAAAAAAGUGAAGAUGGAGAUAGUGAAGAUCUAGACCUUACUUAAUUAAGAAGAACUUUGAAUUGUUGUCGAUGUUCUAGGAGUCUUUUGUUAUCAACAUUUGAAACUUUAACUUUUGAAGUGUUGAACUGUAAAACUUAUGUGAUUGGGUUAAAACAUUUUGCUAUUAUGGGUAUUAUUAGCUUAUUGGACAAUAUAGAUUAUGAAGUGUUUUAUCUUUUUA